UCCGGUGAACUGAUAGGCUGAUCUUCACCGAGUAUCCCCCUCUGGGUCCAACCUCCCACCCGUGUUUAUUUUACCUUGUUGCUUCGGCGGGCCCGCCUUAACUGGCCGCCGGGGGGCUUACGCCCCCGGGCCCGCGCCCGCCGAAGACACCCUCGAACUCUGUCUGAAGAUUGUAGUCUGAGUGAAAAUAUAAAUUAUUUAAAACUUUCAACAACGGAUCUCUUGGUUCCGGCAUCGAUGAAGAACGCAGCGAAAUGCGAUACGUAAUGUGAAUUGCAAAUUCAGUGAAUCAUCGAGUCUUUGAACGCACAUUGCGCCCCCUGGUAUUCCGGGGGGCAUGCCUGUCCGAGCGUCAUUUCUGCCCUCAAGCACGGCUUGUGUGUUGGGCCCCGUCCUCCGAUCCCGGGGGACGGGCCCGAAAGGCAGCGGCGGCACCGCGUCCGGUCCUCGAGCGUAUGGGGCUUUGUCACCCGCUCUGUAGGCCCGGCCGGCGCUUGCCGAUCAACCCAAAUUUUUAUCCAGGUGACCUCGGAUCAGGUAG
rnacentral:rRNA from 1 species